AACGUAGGAGGCGAGCGUUAUCCGGAGUUACUGGGCGUAAAGGGCGCGCAGGUGGUAGGGUAAGUGUGGCGUGAAAGCUCCUGGCUAAACUAGGAGAGGUCGAAACAGACUGCCCAACUAGAGAGUGAUAGAAGUACGCGGAAUUCGGGGUGUAGCGGUGAAAUGUGUAGAGAUCCCGAGGAACACCAGUGGUGAAAACGGCGUACUGGGUCAUAUCUGACACUGAGGCGCGAAAGCGUGGGGAGCGAACAGG
rnacentral:rRNA from 1 species